rnacentral:rRNA from 1 species
CGAUGAUCCUCAGCUUGCUGGGGGGAUUAGUGGCGAACGGGUGAGUAACACGUGAGUAACCUGCCCUUGACUCUGGGAUAAGCCUGGGAAACUGGGUCUAAUACUGGAUACGACCUUCUGGCGCAUGCCAUGUGGGUGGAAAGCUUUUGUGGUUUUGGAUGGACUCGCGGCCUAUCAGCUUGUUGGUGGGGUAAUGGCCUACCAAGGCGACGACGGGUAGCCGGCCUGAGAGGGUGGACGGCCACACUGGGACUGAGACACGGCCCAGACUCCUACGGGAGGCAGCAGUGGGGAAUAUUGCACAAUGGGCGCAAGCCUGAUGCAGCGACGCCGCGUGAGGGAUGAAGGCCUUCGGGUUGUAAACCUCUUUCAGUAGGGAAGAAGCGAAAGUGACGGUACCUGCAGAAGAAGCGCCGGCUAACUACGUGCCAGCAGCCGCGGUAAUACGUAGGGCGCAAGCGUUAUCCGGAAUUAUUGGGCGUAAAGAGCUCGUAGGCGGUUUGUCGCGUCUGCCGUGAAAGUCCGGGGCUUAACUCCGGAUCUGCGGUGGGUACGGGCAGACUUGAGUGAUGUAGGGGAGACUGGAAUUCCUGGUGUAGCGGUGAAAUGCGCAGAUAUCAGGAGGAACACCGAUGGCGAAGGCAGGUCUCUGGGCAUUAACUGACGCUGAGGAGCGAAAGCAUGGGGAGCGAACAGGAUUAGAUACCCUGGUAGUCCAUGCCGUAAACGUUGGGCACUAGGUGUGGGGGACAUUCCACGUUUUCCGCGCCGUAGCUAACGCAUU